GGAAAUUUUUUGUUGAGGUUUUUUAAAACCUCCCUAAUAUAUUUUAUUUGUGAGAAAAUAUAAAACCCCCAUUAAUUCAUGUUAUUUAAAAUUUUUAAGCCCAAUUGUCCACACAAAUAACCCGUUCCUAAUCUAUUCUGAUUAAACUCAAACAAAAAAUUGUCAAAAAAAAUUAGAAGAGGAAGAAGAGGGAGAAUUAAACCCUAGAUCUACGCCACCGUAUUCGUCUCUUCGCCGUUGUCACCAUCAAGCUUGCUAUAGCAUCUGAGAUCAGAGAGAGAGUAACUGGCGAUGCCCGCGAUGCCAUCCUUGACGACAUCCAGGAGCAGGUUUUUAUCCUCAACUCCACUUUCUCAUGGAAGGAGUCAGAUCGAGCCGCCGCCAAGUGCGCCACUCAUGCGCUCGCCGAUCUUGCCAAAAACGGUUAAUCCUCCGUUCCUCUUCCUCGAUCUCUUAGCAUGUUGCUCCCUUCGUUUCAGUUUUUGGCAAAUUCGGUCGUGCAUGUCUCUCGGUGUAAAUCCUUCGGUGGUUGUGUCUUGCAGAGGAAGUGGUGAACAUGAUUGUCGAAGGAGGAGCUAUUCUGGCUUUGGUUCAACACCUCCAAGCUCCUCCCGUGACGGAAGAAGAUCUCGUUCAGAAGCUGUUGCCAUUUGAGCAUGAGGUUGAGAAAGGGAGUGCUUUUGCACUUGGACUUCUUGCCGUCAAGAACACAUAGCGUAUUUGAUGCUAUUUUAGAUACCGAAGCUGACAGUAUUGUUCACAAAAACAGCAUCAGUGGGGGCCAUGCUUGGAUAUGUCACAUAAUUCCACUCAGAUAAAGAGGCAGAAACACAUCUACUAGAACUAGAGGCAAGGGACGGAAUCACUAUAACAAUGGAAGAUAUCGGCACCUCUCGUGUUUGGAAUAUGCGCUAUAGGCUCACCCAGAAACUGAUGAAGUUUAUGCCCAGAUGACACUUCAACCUGUGCUUUCUGUAAGAAUCAUUUUGGAAUGUCUCAAAUGCUUUAUAAUUCUAUAACACUAUGAUAUGCCAAACAUCAAUUUGUAUGAUACGAAGUUUGCUAUUAAUUUGGAGUCUGAUUGUAAAGAGAAAAGGCUUGAACCAAUGGGGAUUGAGUUUUUUAACUGAGUGAGCUAGUUCCUUAGAAAAUGGUGAAAAAUGCAUGCAUCAAAUGCUGUCUUUUGAAAUAAGAAAGUUCAAACAAAUUCUAAACAGAAGCAUUCCUUCUUCUAUUUCUGCUUUCCCACUUCAUUAAAAAGGUCUCUUCUUCGCUGUUAAUUUAAGCUUUUUAUUUAUUAUGUUCUUGACAGUUUUAUGUUUAAUUAUUCUAUAUUCAUUUAUAUCUAAUAACUGUGUAUCUUAUCAUUUAUAUAUAGAAAAUGUGGAGUUUGAGGCAAGAACCUGAUAUGCAUGUUUAUCUCUGAAUUCUUGCUUUUUCUCUCGAGUAUUUCAUAGUGUCCUGUUAGAUUCUCCUUAUGGCUUCUCUUUCUUCAGAUAUCAACCAUCUUUCACACCCUUGCAUAUAUGGUACUCUUUCUCUACUUGUUUCUCUACUACACUUUCAUGCUCAUGGAUGUUCAUUUUGGAAAGUUUUGAAUAACCCCACCAGCUACUUUUUCAACUUUUAAGUCCUUUUUUUCCAUUUGUUGGUUGGUUUUGCUAAAUGGAUAUGCGAAUUCUGACAAAGUUUGUGAAUUUGAUUUGUUAAAGCAUGUAAAUAUAGUAUACUUGAUGUUGGUAUCGUAAUGAUAAUGAUUUAAUGGUGAGAAUUAACUAGUGUUGUAUAAUUUAGUGGGAAGCAGGGGAUUUUGUUCCUUCAUAUUCAGAGAGAAAGUUUGAGUUUAUGAAAUAGUUUGGUAAGAUUUUCAAGAUUGGAUCAUCAAGUAGAGGAAGGAGUGAUAGUAGUGGUCGUCAUCUACAGCAGCCUGCAGAGGAAAACAUGGUUUGGCGAACACCUUCUAGAUCAUUAGUAAACACCACCAUUUCUUUGAACCGAGCAAUUGCACUUUCUUUAGGUGAAAAUUUCAAGAGACCAAAUGGUAGGUAGUUGGUAUUGCUAUUGUUUUCAAUGAAGUUUCUUAUUGUGAAAUUGAUCAAAUUCUAAAGCCCAUUUAUGUAAUUAGAUGAUAUUGAAAUAUUGAAGUAGUUGUUUUAUUUUACUUUUUAAAGAAAAAUAGAAAUACUUAUGUAGAACAAUAUCAUAUGCAAUUAUGUUUGGAACUAUUGACAUUGAGAAUUUUUUUUA